rnacentral:rRNA from 1 species
CAGCCACAACAUGUUGGAACACUGGUUCCCAUAUGAUCACCAAAGUUAAGCAACAUCAAGCCUGGUCAGUACCAAGAUGUGUGACCAAUUGGGUAUACCACGUGCUGUAAG